CCUACGGGCGGCAGCAGUGGGGAAUAUUGCACAAUGGGCGCAAGCCUGAUGCAGCCAUGCCGCGUGUGUGAAGAAGGCCUUCGGGUUGUAAAGCACUUUCAGCGGGGAGGAAGGCGGUGAGGUUAAUAACCUCAUCGAUUGACGUUACCCGCAGAAGAAGCACCGGCUAACUCCGUGCCAGCAGCCGCGGUAAUACGGAGGGUGCAAGCGUUAAUCGGAAUUACUGGGCGUAAAGCGCACGCAGGCGGUCUGUCAAGUCGGAUGUGAAAUCCCCGGGCUCAACCUGGGAACUGCAUUCGAAACUGGCAGGCUAGAGUCUUGUAGAGGGGGGUAGAAUUCCAGGUGUAGCGGUGAAAUGCGUAGAGAUCUGGAGGAAUACCGGUGGCGAAGGCGGCCCCUUGGACAAAGACUGACGCUCAGGUGCGAAAGCGUGGGGAGCAAACAGGAUUAGAUACCCGGGUAGUC
rnacentral:rRNA from 1 species